rnacentral:rRNA from 1 species
UACGUAGGGGGCAAGCGUUGUCCGGAAUUAUUGGGCGUAAAGAGCUCGUAGGCGGUUUGUUGCGUCGGCUGUGAAAUCCCGAGGCUCAACCUCGGGUCUGCAGUCGAUACGAGCAAACUAGAGUGUUGCAGGGGAGACUGGAAUUCCUGGUGUAGCGGUGAAAUGCGCAGAUAUCAGGAGGAACACCGGUGGCGAAGGCGGGUCUCUGGGCCGAUACUGACGCUGAGGAGCGAAAGCGUGGGGAGCGAACAGG